rnacentral:lncRNA from 8 species
AUGUUGGUGAAGAUAAUUCAACAUGUGAACGCUCUGCUAGAAGAUGGGAGGAGUGCCCAGCUCCAUCUCUUUCCCUCAAAAAGGCGCUGUGCUGCUCUGCACCCAUACUGCUCAACUCCUUCCAAUUCACCCCCCGUGACAGACUGUGGAUCAAGCCUGAUCUAUCCACCCAAACUGCCUGUCCUCAAAACUAAAGAUGAGACACUUGGUCAUUGCAUAAUCUCGCUGCAACACUCAUUCUCUUUGGAGACAUUUGGUUUGUUUUACGAACACUUUGUUCAAAGGAUUACUUGAGCAAAGAUCUUAAAUAUUUACUCAAAACUGUAGCUGAUUCUCUGCAAAUAUAAAUCUUGCAUAACUUUUUGAAGUGAGAUGAAAUAUAUCCUUUUUACUCUUUUGCUUCAGGACGAGGACUACCUCUCUCUCGUUCUUAGCAGAGCUACUUUGUGAGAUUCCAUUUUUACGAUGUGCAGGGGCAAUUCCACGGGAACGGAAUUGCGCUGAGAAUCAGAUUUUUCACUAAUGUACGCCAAACAAAAACCAUUGAUUUAUCUUUAAAAGCCUUGAUUUUCAUCAGUCCACGGUAAUACAAACUGUCUAUAAAUUGAGAAAGUUCAGCACUGUUGCUACUCUCCCUAGGAGUGGCCGUCCUGCAAAGAUGACCGCAAG